rnacentral:tRNA from 1 species
GGUGGUAUAGCUCAGUGGUAGAGUGCAUACUUCGCAUGUAUGAGCUGGGGGGUUCCAUCCCUGACAUCU